rnacentral:rRNA from 1 species
GUUGUUCUGCCAAGGGCAUGGCUGGGUAGCUAUGUACGGAAUGGAUAAGCGCUGAAAGCAUCUAAGCGCGAAGCCAACUUCAAGAUAAGAUUUCCCACCGUAAGGGUAAGAUCCCAGGAAGACUACCUGGUUGAUAGGUCGGAGGUGUAAGUGCAGUAAUGUAUGUAGCUUACCGAUACUAAUAGAUCGAGGACUUGACCAA